rnacentral:sRNA from 1 species
AGCAAAACUGCAGCCUGGGCCUGCUGGACUCUCUAUCCAAGGCAGGUGGUGGUGUCCAGGAAUUUGGCUACAAGUAACAGAGACUAAAUGUGCACCAUGUGGGACAAGGGGCCAGAGCCAGAUUCACUUCUUGAAGCCAAGGACUAGGGUGGAACUUUUAUCCACUUUUGGAAAGAAACUAAGAAAAAAUAUUGCCAGUCUUCUGCCAAGGGCUAUGGUUUUAUAGGAAAUUGUGAGCCUAGGGAAAACAAAGACAGCUUUGUGUCCAUCUGCUUGCUCAGUGACCAGAUAUGUGAGAUGCUCAGUAUACUUAUGAAACAGCUGCUCCAAGAAGUCAUCAUAAGACUUCUUCUAGACUUUUGGACUCAGGGGCCCUGGUAGAAGCAGAUGCAAAACUGCUAGACAGGGAAGGAUGUACACAGAGAGGGAGGGGAAAGGAAGUAAACAAACAUCCCAAAAGAAAAGGCUCCUGUUCAAAACUCUGAUAAAUUAAAAUUCCAAAAUCCAUAAAUCUAAUGCUAAGAAGGAUCACCAGCAAAAUCAACUAUUGGGAUAUAUAUAUAUUUAUUCCAGAUGAAAUAUAUAGCCUGACCAAGACUUUAUGUAUGUUUUGGAUACUCAAAAAGAUAAUUGAUGAGAUAACAUCCAUUGAAAACGAACAAGAAGUCAUGAAACAAAAGCGGGCUGAAAUGAAGUAGGACAGUCGAUACAACUAAUCGAGAGUCUUGGAAAUGAAAAAUACAAUAAUUGAAACCAAAACUCAGCACACAGAAUUAAACUAUACACUGGACAUAGAUGAACAAAGAACUAGUGAACUGAAGAAGGUGAUGAGAACGUCAUCCAGCAAGCAGCACAGACAGAUUUUUUUUUUUUUUUUUUUUAAAGUGAAAGAGCAGUUAAAAGCCGUGGUGAAUAGAUUGGGAAUUUCCAACAUCGGUCUAGUAGGAUUUCCAAAGAAGAAAAUAGAGGGAAUGGUAGAGAAACUGGAUUGCAAAGAAUUGAAGGAAAUCUCCAAUCCUCAGCUUAAAAGUGUGCCACAACUGCCAAGCAGGAUAAAGAAAGAUAAAUCUACUCUUCAUUACAUCAUGCCAUAACUGUGGGCAUUCAGAGAAAACCUAAAAGCCACUAAGGGAUAAGAAAGACAAAUAUACUGGGAAGGCACAGCAGUUUGACUGUUAGCAGAUUUCUAACAUAUCAACCAUUAAUACCAGAAGACAGUAGAGAAAUAUUAAAGUGCUGAAAGAAAAAUGACAUUCAAUCUAGAAUUUUAUACCGAGUUAAAUAUACUCAAGACUGUCGAUGAAAGAAAGACAUUUUUAUUUAAAGACCAGGAUAACUUACCACUCAGUGACCCUCAUUUUGAAAAAAACUACUCAAGGAUGUUCUUCAGGAGGAAGGAAAUUGAACCCAUAAGAAUGGAGUGGGAUACAGAAGGCAACGCUGAUGGAUUUACAACUGAGUGACAGUAACUUUCGUCGACACAUCCUGUUGCAGUAUCUCAUUUUAUUCCAAUAUCUCAAGGGGCAGGUCAAAUUCAAAAGUUCAAACUAUGUUUUAACUGAUGAACAAUCACUUUGGAUUGAAGAUACUACAAAAUCAGUUUAUCAAGUAAGUUCAACACGCAACAAACCCAUGAUUGAAAAAAUGGAAAUUUAGGAUUUUCUUUGUUUCAGCCCCAAAUAGGAAAAUAAGGAUAAAGUUAAGCUCAGGUACAAGACCACAAACACUCCUUGGUUCUCUGCCUACAAACCACUCCUAUGAUGCAGAAAGUUGUUGAAAGCUUAGUAUAUUCUUUCUAAUCACAGCUACUAUCUGAAAACCCCCCCGAUGGAGAAAGAUUUUCAAAGAUGGUAGAGCAUAUAUUAAACACUGAAGAAAACUGGAACUCGUGGAAAAAUGAAGGUUGCCCAAGUUUUGUGAAACAUCAGAUACCAAACCUACGAGAAUAAUUCGGAAGAGAACAGCACCCGAGGACUUCCUAGGGAAAGGACCCAGCAAAAAAAUUCUGAUGGGAAAUGAGGAGUUAACAAGGCUUUGGAAUCUUUGUCCUGAUAAUAUGGAAGCCUGUAAAUCAGAGACAAGGGAAUACAUGCCCACUUUGGAGGAAUUCUUUGAAGAAGCCAUUGAACAGGCAGACCCUGAAAAUAUGGUUGAAAAUGAAUAUAAGGCUGUGAACAAUUCAAAUUAUGGUUGGAGAGCCCUGAGACUAUUAGCACGGAGAAGCCCUCACUUCUUCCAGCCAACCAACCAGCAGUUUAAAAGUUUACCAGAAUAUCUUGAAAAUAUGGUAAUAAAGCUAGCCAAGGAAUUACCGCCUCCUUCUGAAGAAAUAAAAACAGGCGAGGAUGAAGAUGAGGAAGAUAAUGAUGCUUUACUGAAGGAAAAUGAAAGUCCUGAUGUUCGGCGAGACAAACCUGUAACAGGAGAACAAAUAGAGGUAUUUGCCAACAAGCUGGGUGAACAAUGGAAGAUUCUGGCUCCCUACUUGGAAAUGAAAGACUCAGAAAUUAGGCAGAUUGAGUGUGACAGUGAAGACAUGAAGAUGAGAGCUAAGCAGCUCCUGGUUGCCUGGCAAGAUCAAGAGGGAGUUCAUGCAACACCUGAGAAUCUGAUUAAUGCACUGAAUAAGUCUGGAUUAAGUGACCUUGCAGAAAGUCUAACUAAUGACAAUGAGACAAAUAGUUAGCUUCUUUUUUUUUCUUUUUAUUAAAACUGUGAUAGAUUUUGUUACCAAGCAGCAUUUGAUAAGAGGUCCACUGGUUUUGGUAAACAAUAAACAUUUUUAUAACA